rnacentral:rRNA from 1 species
GAGUUUGAUCGUGGCUCAGGAUGAACGCUAGCGGCAGGCUUAAUACAUGCAAGUCGUGGGGCAGCAGGUGUAGCAAUACAUGCUGGCGACCGGCAAACGGGUGCGGAACACGUACGCAACCUUCCUUUAACUGGAGAAUAGCCCCUCGAAAGAGGGAUUAAUACUCCGUAACAUAUUGAUAAGGCAUCUUAUUAAUAUUAUAGCUCCGGCGGUUAAAGAUGGGCGUGCGCCUGAUUAGGUAGUUGGCGGGUAACGGCCCACCAAGCCUUCGAUCAGUAACUGGUGUGAGAGCACGACCAGUCACACGGGCACUGAGACACGGGCCCGACUCCUACGGGAGGCAGCAGUAAGGAAUAUUGGUCAAUGGACGCAAGUCUGAACCAGCCAUGCCGCGUGGAGGAUUAAGGCCCUCUGGGUUGUAAACUCCUUUUAUCUGGGAAGAAAUGCUUUGAUUCUUCAAAGCUUGACGUACCAGAGGAAUAAGCACCGGCUAACUCCGUGCCAGCCGCCGCCGUAAC